UUGAUGAUGAUGAUGAUAUAUUAAAAUAAUGCAAAUACUCCAGUUACAUGAAUCAUAGCAAAAGUGGUCAAUGUUGGAGCUAGGGAGGAAUGUUUAAUGCUGAUUUUCUUGGCAACUUCAACUGCACCUGCCAGCCAAGGGCAAGUCAAGGCACGACCUGAGAAAUGGGCACACUCAUACAAAGGGUAGCUGUGGAAACGGUUGUGUUACUCCAGCAGUGGUCACUUGCAACCAGGGCAGAGAAACUGCAGGGACCACAGCUUUAAGGUAUUCAUUUAUGGGAGGAAGUACCGAGUACCGGAACAAACACGGAGAGAAAAUGCAAACUUCUAACAGAAAGGCCCCAGUCAGCUGGUGGAUUCAAGCCCAGAACCUUUUUGCAGUGUGGCAUCAGUGCCAACCUCCAGCUUUAAGAUACCAACCUUAGCUUUAAGGCACCCCCUCACCAUCCCCAAGUCUAACUUCAGCCUCUGGUUCCCAGCAGUAACCAGAUUCUGGUC